rnacentral:rRNA from 1 species
AUACGUAGGGGGCGAGCGUUGUCCGGAAUGACUGGGCGUAAAGGGCGCGUAGGCGGUUCGGUAAGUUAGGAGUGAAAGUCCAGCUUUCAAGGGUGGAAUAGCUUUUAAUACUGUCGGGCUAGAGUGCAGAAGAGGUAAGCGGAAUUCCCAGUGUAGCGGUGAAAUGCGUAGAGAUUGGGAAGAACACCAGUGGCGAAGGCGGCUUACUGGGCUGUAACUGACGCUGAGGCGCGAAAGCGUGGGGAGCGAACAGGAUUAGAUACCCUGGUAGUCCACGCUGUAAACGAUGAAUACUAGGUGUGGGGGGACUGACCCCCUCCGUGCCGCCGCUAACGCAUUAAGUAUUCCGCCUGGGGAGUACGGUCGCAAGAUUAAAACUCAAAUGAAUUGGCGGGG